AGUAGAUUAAGAGCUGGGGAAGAGCUCGUAAUGAAGUGAUUUGAAAACAAAAACCAGCAGUACAGAAGAUAAUGCUGAUGAUUGCCAACUUGGAGAAAUCAGCUCGCAGAUCAAGGACAGUCAAUAUAACAUAGAUAUACAGUUGCUUCACCAUGAAUUAAGCUGUCUGAUGGCCUAGUGGAAGAAGUUGUCCCGGAGCCUGUUGGUCCUGGCUAUUAUCCUGCAGUACCGUUUCCUGGAAGGUAGCAGCUGGAACAAUUUGUAGCAGCAUAUCACAACAAACAUUCUGGGUGCAUCACAAGGAUUUCAUGGUAGAUACAAAGGCACAGCAUAGAAUCAAUGAAAAACUACACACAGCAAGAUGGACAAACAACCCAUGUGCAAAAGACAACAAACUGUGCCAAUACAAAAAGAAGAAAAAGC